rnacentral:rRNA from 6 species
AAACUUUCAACAACGGAUCUCUUGGUUCCGGCAUCGAUGAAGAACGCAGCGAAAUGCGAUAACUAAUGUGAAUUGCAGAAUUCAGUGAAUCAUCGAGUCUUUGAACGCACAUUGCGCCCCUUGGUAUUCCGGGGGGCAUGCCUGUCCGAGCGUCAUU